rnacentral:rRNA from 1 species
UAGGUCUCAGUUCAGAUUGCAGGCUGCAACCCGCCUGCAUGAAGUCGGAAUUGCUAGUAAUCGCGGAUCAGCAUGCCGCGGUGAAUACGUUCCCGGGCCUUGUACACACCGCCCGUCACACCAUGAGAGUCGGGAACACCCGAAGUCCGUAGCCUAACCGCAAGGGGGCGCGGCCGAAGGUGGGUUCGAUAAUUGGGGUGAAGUCGUAACAAGGUACC